UACGGGAGGCAGCAGUGAGGAAUAUUGGACAAUGGAGGCAACUCUGAUCCAGCCAUGCCGCGUGCAGGAAGACGGCCCUAUGGGUUGUAAACUGCUUUUAUACGGGAAGAACCACAUCUACGUGUAGAUGCUUGACGGUACCGUAUGAAUAAGGACCGGCUAACUCCGUGCCAGCAGCCGCGGUAAUACGGAGGGUCCAAGCGUUAUCCGGAAUCAUUGGGUUUAAAGGGUCCGUAGGCGGGAUAAUAAGUCAGUGGUGAAAGUCUGCAGCUCAACUGUAGAAUUGCCAUUGAUACUGUUGUUCUUGAAUUAUUAUGAAGUGGUUGGAAUGAGUAGUGUAGCGGUGAAAUGCAUAGAUAUUACUCAGAACACCUAUUGCGAAGGCAGAUCACUAAUAAUAUAUUGACGCUGAGGGACGAAAGCGUAGGUAGCGAACAGGAUUAGAUACCCUGGUAGUCUACGCCGUAAACGAUGGUUACUAGCUGUUCGGCUCGAUUGAGAGCUGAGUGGUUAAGCGAAAGUGAUAAGUAACCCACCUGGGGAGUACGUUCGCAAGAAUGAAACUCAAAGGAAUUGACGGGGGCCCGCACAAGCGGUGGAGCAUGUGGUUUAAUUCGAUGAUACGCGAGGAACCUUACCAGGGCUUAAAUGCAGUUGGACAGGUCUGGAAACAGACCCUUCUUCGGACUAAUUGCAAGGUGCUGCAUGGUUGUCGUCAGCUCGUGCCGUGAGGUGUCAGGUUAAGUCCUAUAACGAGCGCAACCCCUGUGGUUAGUUGCCAGCGAGUCAUGUCGGGAACUCUAGCCAGACUGCCAGUGCAAACUGUGAGGAAGGUGGGGAUGACGUCAAAUCAUCACGGCCCUUACGUCCUGGGCCACACACGUGCUACAAUGGUAGGGACAGAGGGCAGCUACCCCGCGAGGGGAUGCGAAUCUUCAAACCCUAUCACAGUUCGGAUCGCAGUCUGCAACUCGACUGCGUGAAGCUGGAAUCGCUAGUAAUCGCAUAUCAGCCAUGAUGCGGUGAAUACGUUCCCGGGCCUUGUACACACCGCCCGUCAAGCCAUGGAAGCCGGGGGUACCUGAAGUCCGUCACCGUAAG
rnacentral:rRNA from 1 species